GCGCCUGUGGUGCAAUGGUUAGCAUACGCUCCCGGAAAGAGUGUGGUCUGGGUUCGAAUCCGCGCUGACGCA